GUAGCUAACUGCGUAGGGCACUAAAAGGGGGUCAUGUUGUAAAUUAAGGAAAGCCAGGGCAGAAGGAUUUGGGUGUUUUGGUGAGAAAAUUUAGGAAGAGAGUUAUGAGGGACAUCUCCAUGUGGUCACUAACUCAGCUCAGAUCUAAUGCAGCGAUCCAACCCCGGUUCCUUCUGCUGGCCUAAUAACUUCAACGCUGCUUUUUCUCUCCAGUCUCAUGUGCACCUCACGAGAUGUGCGCUCAAAUUUGUUUCCACAUACUAGCGGCAGAAAAAAGAACACAAAACUCUAGCACUUACUUCUCCCUCCAUCUCUACUCGGUAUGGUCCCCUCUGUGUCAGACAUUUUUCACAGUGACAAUUUGAUUGGACCUAGAGUUUUUAAGUUCAGAUGCAGGUACCCUAAAUUCAGUUGCCUCCGUGGCUGGAAUGACCACAUCCCCGCUCUACCUAGAACACUCUUUGCUCAUGAGUUUGGGGAAGUAACCAAACCAGCCCACCAGACCAUGCUAAACAAACAACCCAAGGGAAGGGCCAGGCUUCCUGGAAGGCUAAAGGGCUUGCACUGAUGCCCGCCUUUAAUCGCGUUUGAGCCAUUUAAACCACAUGAUGGCAAGCUUCCGCUGCCCCUCCCCUACAGCCCAGCCUCCCGCUUUUUCUCUUGCUGUGCUUCCUCAUCUCAUGACGCUGGCAAACCUUCAGGCUGCUUAUUCAACCUGUCGCAAGACACUCUCUGUGCCAAAGAAAAAGAAAGAGAAUGAAGGGGCCCUGUGCUGGCUCCAGGGCACUGGCUGCCAGGCUAGCCCAGGAUGAUGCAGCCCAAGGCCCCAUCAAUAGCUGGAGGCAAGCAACACAAACGAGCCUUCUGAUUCAAAGUCUGCACCUAAGG
rnacentral:lncRNA from 1 species